rnacentral:tRNA from 1 species
GGCCGAGCAGGUGGCGAGCUGUAGACUCGUUCACGGGGAGAGACCCCCCAACCAA